UCCCUGGUGGUCUAGUGGUUAGGAUUUGGUGCUUUCACUGCUAUGGCUGGGGUUCAAUCCCUGGUCAGGGAA
rnacentral:tRNA from 1 species